AGGAGAAUGAGGCCCAAGGCCAGAGCAUGAGAGGAGCAGAAACACAGUUACGGACGAGUCUUUCAGGAAGGCUAUGGGGCAUGCGGAGAUUCCGGGGGCACGCAAUCACUGGCGCAUUAAACAGCACCUCUGCAGGAAGUGUUUCAUGGGGCAGUGGAAGGGCUGCAGACAAGCUAGAAGGGCUGAAAGGCCUGGAAGCCUAUACCAAAGGCAGCAUUCUGACGGUGUGCACAGGAGGAGACUAACGCUGGCAUGCCCCACACUGACCCAAAGGGAAAGAGCAUGUCCAAGGGAAAUGUCAGUGAUCGGAAGCAGGCGAUGCCGACAGAAAGGUAU
rnacentral:lncRNA from 1 species